GACGAACGCUGGCGGCGUGCCUAAUACAUGCCAGUUGAGCGCUGAAGGUUGGUACUUGUACCAACUGGAUGAGCAGCGAACGGGUGAGUAACGCGUGGGGAAUCUGCCUUUGAGCGGGGGACAACAUUUGGAAACGAAUGUUAAUACCGCAUAAAAACUUUAAACACAAGUUUUAAGUUUGAAAGAUGCAAUUGCAUCACUCAAAGAUGAUCCCGCGUUGUAUUAGCUAGUUGGUGAGGUAAAGGCUCACCAAGGCGAUGAUACAUAGCCGACCUGAGAGGGUGAUCGGCCACAUUGGGACUGAGACACGGCCCAAACUCCUACGGGAGGCAGCAGUAGGGAAUCUUCGGCAAUGGACGAAAGUCUGACCGAGCAACGCCGCGUGAGUGAAGAAGGUUUUCGGAUCGUAAAACUCUGUUGGUAGAGAAGAACGUUGGUGAGAGUGGAAAGCUCAUCAAGUGACGGUAACUACCCAGAAAGGGACGGCUAACUACGUG
rnacentral:rRNA from 1 species